GUCUACGGCCAUACCACCCUGAACGCGCCCGAUCUCGUCUGAUCUCGGAAGCUAAGCAGGUCGGGCCCGGUUAGUACUUGGAUGGGAGACCGCCUGGGAAUACCGGUGCUGUAGGCU
rnacentral:rRNA from 1 species